rnacentral:lncRNA from 1 species
CACCAUUCACUACUUAUUACUUCUAUAUAUUACUCCCACCAAAUAGUUGUGAGGUGCUAUUCUAUCAGGAAAACAAAUAGUUGUCCUUUUCACCAUUCCUUCGUCUCAGUAUAAUUGUCAGAAAACUAAUCAACUGGUGUUCAGGUGGGAAAUUUUAGGAGGUCAGAUUAAUCAUUUCCACUGGUCAGCACUGAUAAGAAACUGGCCCACUAUUUUUCUCUUCCUCGUGGCUGUUAAUUCUGCAUGCCCUUUUCUUGUCCCAUAAACAGUUAGAAAGAACUUUGAAAGAAACAUCAGAAACAGGGUUAUUUUUGGGGGACAUUUUCUGAUUUUCCUGAUGUAAAGAGAGCUUGUUAUUAUCUCACCUAUAAUUAUCACUCUCAACAUGGCUAAGUAUCCCUUGGAUAAUGUCUCAGUAGAUUUCCAGAGAAUACGAACCAAUGUCAAAACAUGGGUAUUAUAACCUCUUCCUGCCAUUCUUUGCAAGGAAGAGGACAGAGGAAGAGGAAGGAGUUUAACUAUUUUCUUAAUCAAAUUAUAAAAUAGGAUUUUAAUCUGUGAAUUGUUAGAGAAGUGCUGUUCAUCAUAAGGCAGAAUAUUGUACUGAGGUUGGUUGUGAAGCAAGGUUCAUUUGCUGGAUGGAAAUAAGAUUGUUUCAUGAGAAAGAAUAUUUGCUUCAAUAUGCUGCUGUUUAUUGUGCCCCUUCUCUUUCAUCUGCCACAUCUGGUGUGCAAACAUACCACGAGUUGCACCGUCCAUGAUCUGUCCAGCAUUCCACAUGAAUACUACCAACCUGGUCAUCUUAUUGUUGGCGGACUUGCUUCUCAUCUCUUUGCUGCUUUUGACAAAGAAGACUUCAAAGAAAGGCUAACUAUCCACCAGCGCCUUAAUACCCAGUAAAGACAUCAAAUGUCAAAUGAUACUGAAAUAUCUUCCAGUUCUAACCAGGCCUAAUCAGAAGCUAGUUCCCCUGAUUUCAGUUGGAUUUACUUCCACUGAAGGGAAAUGCAGAUCUGAAUGUGUCAGUGAGAUGAGAGAGCCUGGUCUUGUUGAUGUGUUCUCUCCUCCCCACAUCCCACUAAAUCUCUUCCAAGGCGUUUUACAAGAGGAGGACUCAAAGAUUAAACCUCCCUAGUUUAAGAUUGAAAGUCCUUCUCUGUUCUUUAUCUUCACCUCAGAAAAUCUUGUGUGAAGUUUCUAAAAGGCUCACCUCUCCUUUGAGGUGAUGCUUGAAUAACCCCUGAUGUUCUCAUCCAAGUCAGGCUAGAUGAUUGUCUUUAAUCUUUAUAGACAGUGCCUGGAUUAGAUACAUUCCGACUGUAUUCAGCUGAAGGUAGUGAUCAGUGAAGAAAUGUCAGUUAACUGUUAGUUGGGAGACGUUAUGAGGGAGGUUUGAGUUCCAAUUGAGUGGUAAAGAUCUGAUUUCCCUGCAGAAAAAUGACAGGAGUGGGAAAGUCUGAAUGAGCCCUACAUUAAGCUGAAAUUCUGCUCUUUUAGGGGAAUUGUUCUGCAGAUAUGUGUAUAUUAGGGCAAAAUGUACGCUAAAAAACACAAGAAUCAUAAAGAGGCCACUGAAAAACAUGCAUAGCACAUCUCUCAAUGAUACAGCAUAAAAUUCUUGUUGCAGUAUUGUGCCAAAGAACUACCAGCAUAUUCUGGCCUUGGUAUUUGCUGUCAAGGAGAUCAAUGAGAACCCCAAGAUCUUACCUAAUAUUACACUGGGAUUCCACAUCUAUGACAGUUACUUCGAUGAAAGGAUGACCUACUGGGCUGCUCUGAACCUUCCCUCCACAUUUAUACCCAACUACAAGUGCGACACCCAGAAACAUCUGAUGACAGCUGUUGGGGGACUGGACUUGGAUACCUCCAUCUACCUGGCAAACAUCUUGGGCAUCUACAAGAUUCCACAGGUAAGAUGCUGCCUAGGGGAUUUCACACAUUCACCAUGAUUUCUUCUGUCCAGAAAGGAUUCGUGUAAUAUAGAAACAGUUGUGAGAGACGAAAGAGAGUGAUUCUGCCCUUCACAAGGUAAUGUGAUGGUAGAAGAGUUCUCAUCUCACCCCAGUUCCUUGUCCAAACACACCUGAAAACAUGUAUCCAAAUUCCAUGCUACCAGCUGACACCCUCUCACCUUUGCUCCAUGGCCUACUGGUUGGAGACGGAAGCUGCUCUCUUGCAAAGCUGGAAGCCUGCCCAUCAGGAGUCAGCUGCCCGCACAUUGUGGCACUUCAUGGGGAUUUUGUGUGUUAGUGGCUUGAGAGAGGAAGGAAAGACGCCAUGAAAUCUGGAGUUGAAAUUUUGUGGUGAAGCAACAUGAAAGAAACAGGGGAGAGAAAAGCAGCAGUACAGAAAAAACCUAGAGAUCACAGUGGAUAAAGAAAAGGAGGGCAGAGGAGAGGAAAGCAGGAGUUCAGGGAACUGGGAAUGGAAGUAUGGCAAAGAAGGAGGUGGAGGCUGAGAAACACAGGGUGCAACCUGCCACCCUUCCCAGCUUUCUGGAACCUGCCAUCUUAAGGCAACUGGCUCAUUUUGCCUCCUGGGUGGACAGGUCCUGGGUGCACAUACCCAGUCCUUCUGCAAUUGUAGAUGAUGCUCCUUUAUUUCCUUUUAGCUCACUUAUGGCUCCUUUUCUCCAGAGGAUGCUGGUCAAAGCCAAUCCACUUCCUUCUACAAGAUGGUGCCCAAUGAAGCCCAUCAGUACACUGGGAUUGUUGAUUUACUUCUGCACUUUGGCUGGACAUGGGUUGGAUUGCUUGCUAGAGAAAGUGACAGUGGAGAGAGAUUUAUUCAGACCCUGAAACCUCUGCUCUCCCAGAAAGGCAUUUGCUUGGCCUUCUCAGAGACAAUCCUGAAAAUGAUACAUUUGGCUGACGUGUUUCCAGACUUGAUCCAAAUUUAUCAAGCUAUUAUGGAAAGUAAAGCCAAGGUGGUGGUUUUCUAUGGGGGAAUAAAGUCCAUGCUUACCUUGAGAGAAAUUUUAGCAAUUGGUGAAUUGGAAUAUGUGACCAAGACAUCUGUGGGCAAGGUGUGGAUUCUGACGGCACAGUUGGAUUUCACAGCACAGACCUAUCAAAUGAACCUGGAUAUGCAAGUCUUCCAGGGUUCCCUCUCCUUUGCGGUUCAUUCAAAUAUGGUGCAAGGAUUCAAAGCAUUUCUUGAGGUACAAAAUCCUUUUGAGGAAAAUGGAAAUGGCUUUGUCAAGGAGCUCUGGGCACAAGUCUUUCUCUGUUUAUUUCCAAACUCCAACACAGAGGAGCAGGCCAGUGGAACCUGCACUGGUGAGGAGAAGCUGGAGAAUCUCCCUUCAUCUGGUUUUGAGAUGAGCAUGACUGGCCACAGCUACAGUCUCUAUAAUGCUGUCUAUGCAACAGCACAUGCUUUACAUGCCAUGUUCUUGUCCAGGACCAAAAACAAAUUAGCGGUGGAAGGAGAGAUGCGGGAGCUUUGGCCUUGGCAGGUAAUGUCUCUCAUAAGAGAUAAUUUAUUUCACAUAGGCUGUGAUAUGCAAAACAGUUCCCUGAAAAAUUUUGAAGCUCCAGUGUAAGAGCACAUUAUCCCUUGUGUGCAGAAAAGCUACUCAUGGAGUAAGACAGUGAAGUAACAGACCUGUCCCACUUUUUUGUGAGCAACUUCCUUUGUGUGCAGAGAAACUGUUAGUGAAGACCGACCCAACCCUGCACUGUGCUGCUUUAGCCAAAGCAGCUUCACUGCACAAAAGUUACAGGGAGGAUCCCAGCCUAGACCGAGAGGUGAAGGAGAGGGCUGGUAGAGAGAGGCAGGUGGAGCUGGAGAAAAAAGGAGCUGUGGCUGGGCAAUGGGAUGGAGAACAGCAAGGAAAAGGACUUUAAACCUGUUUCUUAGUUUGUGCUGAGCUUGCUAAACAAUAUCAUUCUUGUUGGACUCUUUGGUGAGAGAACCCAGAAGAGAUUUAAUAUGGCAACUCAUGCCGCAAAUAAUGGCAUGAAAUUUAGGUGUUAAAACCUUAAAAUGUGCCCUUUAAGUCAAUCCCAAAGCAUCUCACUUACUUAGCACAAGGAUAGACCACACAAUUAGUAAGUUAUACAUAGUUUACAUACAAAACUCUUCAAAGGUCAGAUUCAUGUGCUUUUCCAUACGGCUGUCAGUUUUGCAGGCGGUCAAACAUAGCUCGAUUACAAAAAUGGUUAAAGGUCCUAAAAUAUUGGUAUAGAAAAUACUGGUUUCAUACUCCAUUCUUGUCUGAAACACAGGAAACUGGUUGGAGGGAGCAGCUCAGAGCUCCACAGGAACAUCAUUCAAAUGUAGGCUGAAUGGAACCAAAGGUUUUGUUGCCCAUUUCAUCCCAAGGUGAGGGGAAGUGACAUUGGCCAAGCCUGGCAGGACAACUUCCUCUAUGGCAUCAAGCACCUUGUGCAUUAAUUAGGCUCAAGCGUACUGAUCACCCUACUGUUUCCUUAGAAGCAGGAGAUAUCCAAGCAGUGGGAACUGAAAGGAUGGAUUUUUUUUCUUAUUAGUGAGGAAUGCAUUGGGAUUUUCCCCACAGGAAACGAUAGAAAUCGUCACCUGAGUAGGCAAAUGCUUGCCUUACAAAUGAUUUUUCAGGAACAGAUUAGGUUCUUAUAGCAAUUCUUGCAUGUACAGACAGACUGGAAGCAUCGUGAGUGCCAAUAAGGAGAGACGUAUGCAUCACUUCACACUUAGUAUUUUUCUUCCAAUGCAGCUCCAUCCCUUCCUCAGGACUGUCUCCUUCAACAACUCUGCUGGAGAAACUGUAUCUUUUGGUGAGAACAAGGAAGUAGAAGCUGGCUUUGAUAUUACCAACCUGGUCACUUUCCCAAAUAACUCCUUCGUGAGGGUCAAGGUUGGAAGGGUGGAUGUGCAAGCCACCCCAGGCCAGCAAAUUUCCAUUGAUGACAACAGAAUGGUUUGGCACAGAAGCUUUCACCAGGUGGGGCAUAAUUCCUACAUCCAUGAGAUAUAGGAAAGCAAUGGAAUUGCACUUUUAGAUUUUCCUCUGCACUACCUAAGAACCUAAAAUGAGCUUGCUGGAUCAGUCCAAUGGCCCAUCUUGUCCAGGAUAACACCCAUGGCCAGUCUUGUCCUGCAUCUGGAUAUGGUGUACAGGUGACUGUUACCUUGUGUGUCUCUCUAUCCCAGGGUAUUUCAUGAGUCUCUUGUCAAGAAUGAGGUGUUUGUUGCUCCGAUGGGAAGGAAGCAGGGACUGUGGAGUUUCUGGGCAACUGUUUUUCUCACCUACAGUACAAUGAGGAAAUUGAUUUCUUAGACUGAGGAAGACUCAAACCUCAAUAUCUUUAGGUGCCAGGUGAAAACAUUCCUCUUCCCCAGUUUUUUGUCAGAUUAAAGUAUCUCUGGCCUUUUGAACUGCCGGUGAUAUUUCUUUGGUUGUUACUGUAUAAGGUAGAUAUUUGUGGUUUUAUACAGAAAAUGACCCUGUGAUCAGAGGAAGAGGGGUAUAGAAAAAUAGAUACCUAUGGGAAACCUACAAGUUGGAUCUGAGCACAAGACCACUCUCCACACAGUCUCCAGGUUUGUAGCUCAUUCUUUGGAGUGUGUUUUUGUCCUCUCCAAGAAGCACAAUUGUUUCACACAUGCUAUGAUUGGUAAAUAGGGGGUGGAACAGGUAUUAUAUUUUGUAUGGGGACAAUAGGGGCAGUGCUGGUGAAGGAGAAUCCCCAAUCCUCUUCCCCUUUGCAUCCUCAUGCAUUCUUCCUGAAUGCCUGAAAGGGGCUCAAACAUGGUAAGUUUCAGCAUUAUUUAUUUUUAUUUUUAUCUUAAACCAACGAAAAAGAAAAUGAGUAGCUGGCACUGAGUUGGGAAUAAGUAGUUUAGUGUCUUCCUACUGUUGGUUGGAAGAAAAAGGAAACAAAAAGUGCUAAUAAUUUCUGGGUGCUAAAAUAUUUGUGGGUUUAUUUCAAUGGGCAGAUUCCACCCCUUUCUGUGUGCAACCCAAGUUGUCCCCCUGGUUCCAGGAAGGAAAAGAUAGAGGAGGAGCCAUUCUGCUGCUAUAAUUGUGCUCCAUGUCCUCAAGGCAAGAUUUCGUCCCAGAAGGGUAAGAGAGACAGGAUAUAUGUUUUUCAGAAAUAAGUCAUGUUAGAAGUUGAGGGAAAGGAUAAAUAAAUCUGUGGUAACGUGUGCAUUUUUGCAUAUAUUGUUUGAUUGGAAAACUACAUUCCAAAUGUUUAGAGAAGUACACAUUUUUUAAGGGCAGGUUGAGAGGAGUUCCCUACCAGUACAGACUUUGCUUGUGUGCUCAAGACAUCGAUUCCAUAAAACAUAUUUUGUUGCAUUGUGCAAAAUAUGAGCAAGCCAGGGCUGAACUGAUACUACCCUUGCUGGUACCUUUCCGGGAAAAUCAGAUGCUCACUAUGUCAGGUUCCUACUGGAAGACCGGACAAAUGCUAGAACAUUAGCAGUGGCAAAGUUUUUAUUGGUGGUUGCAAGAACAAAUGAUCUCUAUACUUUAAACAAAAUGCUUGUUUAACCUGGAGGUAGGCUGUAUGAAUUGUGUAUUGCUUUGUAAUGAUUUGUUGGGUCUCUGGACCGUAAUAAAGAUUGAUGAUGACAUUUUUAAGGACAUCUGUACUUUGAUUAACGUGUUGUUACAAGGAGUUCAAUUUAGAUAACUUUCCAAUUCAAGUGGCAUAAAAACUAAAUUUCUCCUCCAAACCUAUUGACAGAUAGCCCCCAUAAAGGAUUAUGGACCUAAGAAGAAUCUGUUUGUCACCUAUGAUCUAAUCUUUGUCACAGGUUAAAAUACAGCAGGCAAUUUUGAAUUCAAUGCACCAGUGAUAUGACUUGGUAGGAGACACCUGUCUUAGUUCAGGCAAUAACAAACAAACAUGCGUCUGAUUGAUGCGCGAUCACAUACCCGAGCGGGGUGGAAUGGGGUCAGCAUAGGGGGUGGGGGUGGAAGAGGGCUGGGAAUAAAACCCCUGUGCAAAAUGGUCAUGGACUGUACCUGUUCUGAACAAUAACAAUGUGGUUUAUGUGGAGUUAGCAAGCCAUCACAGGACACUCCACAUAACCCAACACAAAGUGCUGAGGUGAAGUUCUCAUGCAUCAUGUUCAUUCUGGUUAUUCUGGAAAUAUGUGUGAUACCUCUAAUUUAACAUUAUCAUUUCUAUACUCGCACCGUUAGCAGUUGCUCUGCAACACAUCCAAAAUCUGAAUGUAUUAUUUUCUUUCCAGACAUGGUUGACUGUGUUGUGUGCCCAGAAGAUCAUUAUACCAACAUGAAAAAAUCACAAUGCGUUCCAAAGACCAUCAGCUUCCUGUCCUUUAAAGAGCCUCUGGGGAUGAGCUUAGCAUUGUUGGCUCUUUCUCUCUUUCUCUUCACAAUACUAGCCCUUGCCAUCUUCAUUAAACAUCAGGACACACCACUUGUCAGAGCAAACAAUCGGGACCUCACCUACACUCUUCUCACUUUCCUCCUGCUCUGCUUCCUCUGCCCAUUGAUCUUCCUCAGCCCUCCAGAAAGAGUCAGCUGCCUGCUCCGACAAAUGGCUUUUGGCCUUGUUUUCACAGUGACUGUUUCUUGUGUGCUGGCCAAGACUAUCAUGGUGGUUCUGGCCUUUGUGGCCACCAAACCAGGAUCCAGAAUGAGGAAGUGGGUGGGGAAAAGUCUUGGAAGCUCCAUUGUGAUUUCUUGUUCCCUUAUCCAAGUGGUCAUUUGUACUAUAUGGUUAGGAACCUCUCCCCCAUUUCCUGAUUCUGACAUGCACUCUAUGAUGAGGGAAAUCAUUCUAGGCUGCAACGAAGGGUCAGUUGCCCUGUUUUACUGUGUCCUGGGCUACAUGGGUUUUUUGGCCAUUAUCAGCUUUGUUGUAGCAUUUUUAGCCCGGAAACUGCCUGAGAGCUUCAAUGAGGCCAAAUUCAUCACCUUCAGCAUGUUCUUGUUUUGUAGUGUUUGGAUCUCCUUUGUUCCGGUCUACCUGAGCACCAAGGGGAAAUACAUGGCGGCUGUGGAGAUCUUCUCCAUCUUGGCCUCCAGUGCUGGGAUACUGGGCUCCAUCUUUGCUCCCAAAUGCUACAUCAUUGUGUUGAGACCUGAUCUGAACAGCAAGGAGUGCUUAAUAAAGAGGAAAUAAUAAAUUAUCCUUUCAUCCUUAUUUUUUCUCCUUUUCCAAAUUAUGAGCAAUGUAAUCUCUCUGUAUCCAC